CCAUGACAAACUUUGGUAUGCAUGGAGGAUUCAUCAUUGACAACAAACUGAGAUCGAUCUAAGAAAUACGACUUAAACGUCUCAUACUGGAAUAAAUUCAUGGAAUACAUCAAGAGCGUCGCACCCGUGGGGGAUGGGGGGAUGCGACACCCCCACUUUUACAAAAAGACGAUUUCAUCCCCCCCACUUUUUCUGAUAUUUAAACCAUUUACCCGUCCCGCGGUCCACCAGCAUACUGAAACGGAGCGCAUGUCAGUUCUCCAUAGGCUACAUGAAAACCCAUUGGUCCAGUUAGAUCCAUCCGGCCAUCCAGCCAAUCACAGCCAUUUGACCAAACCCACCAGGUCCACCGCGCGAAAAAUAAAAAAAUAAACAUUUUUUCAGAGCUCUAUCUGCAUUUCUUUAUUACGAAGCAGACAGCGAGCAGAGGCUGUAACAGUCAUCUGACCAACAUCUACUUCUAAGUUUGAUGAUCAGACCAUGUCUAAAAGGAAGAGACAGCAGACCAUCGACUCAUUUUUCAAGUCAAAGUGUCAAGUAAGUUGAGUUGUAGUGAGAGGAGGGAAACAUCAAGCUAACGUUAUUUAUGUGCAAUCAUGUAAGAUACACAUCUGCUAUAAUUACAUAGCUAAUCAUGCCAUAUAUCGUUGGAAAGCUAAGACUGUUGUGAUUCGUUUGAUGCCGACCAUUUCAAGAUAAAAUCACAACAGGCAUAAUCAACACCACAACCGAGCAAUCACGCAAUUAUAAAAGGUAAAUCAACUCACCAAUAAAGCCACACAGAAACCGGCUGUUAGUCCGACAAAAACGUUGCUUUUUUAACCUUGUGGUUGUGCUGAUUCUAAUGACACCUCCCAUUUGUGUUGUGCUAUAUAAAUAAAGAUUGAGUUAGAUGUUGGGGAGUUCUUUGACAGAAAAUUGAAGACUCAAAUCCUGCUUCCAAACUACCAUCACCAGUGAUAGCAAGUAAGCAAGUAGCAAGUAAAUGUUUCUUCCACUUUUUGUUGCCAGGCUGGCAACAGGCCUUCAGCUGUUAGCCAUAACUUGCCAAAGUUGAUUGAGUGAUCAGAGCAUUUUAAUUAUUUCUAGUUAUACAUAUAUAUGGUUAAUUUUCCCGAUAAUCAAUGCAGAUAAUUUCGCUCAUGUGCACCCCCACUUUUUAAAGCGCUGUGACGCCCCUGGAAUACACUGACUGGAGGAAGAUCUGGCUCUUACCCAACCGAUAUAUGUUAACUAAUAAAGUGAGAGAAGUCUCAUUUAAAAUAAUUCAUAGAUGUUAUCCAUCCAAUGAUCAUAUUGUUAGAAGAUUCAAAAAAGAUAUUGAUGUGAAAUGCACUUUCUGCUCUGAACAUAUUGAUACAGUUACUCAUUUAUUUUGGCACUGCCCCUUUGUCCAAAGUCUGUGGACUGAUAUCUGUAACUUUAUUGCUAAAAAUGUUGAUAAUGAUUUUAAGUUGUUUUGGAGGGAUGUACUGUUUGGGCUCUUUGACUUGAAAAAAAAUAGAGUAAGAUUAAACGAAACAUUUAUUAUCAAUCUCAUCAUACUGAUGGCAAAAUUUCAUAUUCAUAAGUGUAAAUUUACUCGAAGAAAACCAUCUUUUGUUGCCUUUCACGGUGAGCUCAGACAGUACAUCGUUUCCAUUAAGUUUUCUAAUAACACAAAAGCUAUUAAAACGCUUAAUAUAUGUGAACAUUUAAAUAUAUUUAUGUAAACUCUUUCUCCCCCCUGGCGUAGAAUAUACAUGAAUGUUUUUGUAAUGUUUUAUAUAUGAUCUGUGUUCCUUUGUUUGUGAAACAAAGUUCUAAUAAAAAAA